rnacentral:rRNA from 1 species
CCUACGGGAGGCAGCAGUGAGGAAUAUUGGUCAAUGGGCGUAAGCCUGAACCAGCCAAGCCGCGUGCGGGAUGAAGGUUCUAUGGAUCGUAAACCUCUUUUAUAAGGGAAUAAAGUGUGGGACGUGUCCUAUUUUGUAUGUACCUUAUGAAUAAGGAUCGGCUAACUCAGUGCCAAGAGCCGCGGGAAUACGGAGGAUCCGAGCGUUUUCCGGAUUUAUUGGGUUUAAAGGGGGCGUAGGGGGGUUUUUAAGUUAGGGGUGAAAGUCAGGGGCUCAACCACAGGAUUGCCGUUGAGACUGGGGAACUAGAGUUUGAUUGAGGCAAGCGGAAGGCGAGGUGAAGCGGGGAAAUGCGGAGAUAUCACGCAGAACACCGAUGGCGAAGGCAGCCUACCAAGUCAUUACUGACGCUGAUGGACGAAAGCGUGGGGAGCAAACAGGAUUAGAUACCCUUGUAGUC